AGCGGCGGACGGGUUAGUAACGCGUGGGAAUAUACCCUUUACUACGGAAUAGCCUCGGGAAACUGAGAGUAAUACCGUAUACGCCCUUCGGGGGAAAGAUUUAUCGGUAAAGGAUUAGCCCGCGUCUGAUUAGAUAGUUGGUGGGGUAAUGGCCUACCAAGUCUACGAUCAGUAGCUGGUUUGAGAGGAUGAUCAGCAACACUGGGACUGAGACACGGCCCAGACUCCUACGGGAGGCAGCAGUGGGGAAUCUUAGACAAUGGGCGCAAGCCUGAUCUAGCCAUGCCGCGUGAGUGACGAAGGCCUUAGGGUCGUAAAGCUCUUUCGCCAGGGAAGAUAAUGACUGUACCUGGUAAAGAAACCCCGGCUAACUCCGUGCCAGCAGCCGCGGUAAUACGGAGGGGGUUAGCGUUGUUCGGAAUUACUGGGCGUAAAGCGCACGUAGGCGGAUCAGAAAGUAAGAGGUGAAAUCCCAGGGCUCAACCCUGGAACUGCCUUUUAAACUCCUGGUCUUGAGUUCGAGAGAGGUGAGUGGAAUUCCGAGUGUAGAGGUGAAAUUCGUAGAUAUUCGGAGGAACACCAGUGGCGAAGCGGCUCACUGGCUCGAUACUGACGCUGAGUGCGAAAGCGUGGGGAGCAACAGGAUUAGAUACCCUGUAGUCGCGCGA
rnacentral:rRNA from 1 species